UAGUCCGUCAAAGUGGUUGUGAAAUGCCAUCCAUUGGUGGCCAUAUCACAGUCAUCUUUGAUGACUUGAA
rnacentral:pre_miRNA from 1 species